rnacentral:rRNA from 1 species
ACCUACGGGGCGCAGUAGGGAAUCUUCCACAAUGGGCGAAAGCCUGAUGGAGCAACGCCGCGUGGGUGAAGAAGGUCUUCGGAUCGUAAAACCCUGUUGUUAGAGAAGAAAGUGCGUGAGAGUAACUGUUCACGUUUCGACGGUAUCUAACCAGAAAGCCACGGCUAACUACGUGCCAGCAGCCGCGGUAAUACGUAGGUGGCAAGCGUUAUCCGGAUUUAUUGGGCGUAAAGGGAACGCAGGCGGUCUUUUAAGUCUGAUGUGAAAGCCUUCGGCUUAACCGGAGUAGUGCAUUGGAAACUGGG